GCCGGGGUGGCGGAAUUGGUAGACGCGCAGGCUUGAGGGGCUUGUGGGCUUAGUCCCGUGCGGGUUCAAGUCCCGCCCCCGGCA
rnacentral:tRNA from 1 species